UACGUAGGUGACAAGCGUUGUCCGGAUUUACUGGGCGUAAAGAGCGCGCAGGCGGUCGUUCAAGUCGAGUGUGAAAGCUCCCGGCUCAACUGGGGAGGGUCACUCGAUACUGAUCGACUCGAAGGCAGGAGAGGGUAGUGGAAUUCCCGGUGUAGUGGUGAAAUGCGUAGAUAUCGGGAGGAACACCAGUGGCGAAGGCGACUACCUGGCCUGUUCUUGACGCUGAGGCGCGAAAGCUAGGGGGGCAAACGGG
rnacentral:rRNA from 1 species